rnacentral:tRNA from 1 species
GAUGAAAAAAUUUUCACUUACAAUGAAAAAUACCUAGUAGGCAUCUUUUUACUGCAAGUGGGUGCUAU